GUGAGGAAUAUUGCGCAAUGGAGGCAACUCUGACGCAGCCAUGCCGCGUGCAGGAAGAAGGCGCUACGCGUUGUAAACUGCUUUUAACCGGGAAGAAACCCCAGGACGUGUCCUGGGUUGACGGUACCGGAGGAAUAAGCACCGGCUAACUUCGUGCCAGCAGCCGCGGUAAUACGAAGGGUGCAAGCGUUAUCCGGAUUCAUUGGGUUUACAGGGUGCGUAGGAGGAGCGUUAAGUCAGUGGUGAAAUCCUGCAGCUUAACUGUAGACUUGCCAUUGAUACUGGCGCUCUUGAGUGCGCUUGAAGUGGGCGGAAUGUGCCGUGUAGCGGUGAAAUGCUUAGAUAUGGCACAGAACACCAAUUGCGAAGGCAGCUCACUAAGGCGAUACUGACGCUGAGGCACGAAAGCGUGGGGAUCGAACAGGAUUAGAUACCCGAGUAGUCC
rnacentral:rRNA from 1 species